GGAUAUAGCUCAGUUGGUAGAGUUCUUGCCUCACAUGCACAAGACCCUGGGUUCAAUCCCCAGCACCA
rnacentral:tRNA from 1 species